GAGUAUUUCAUCACUGGCUCUAUUUUUUUAGCGAUGUGUUGCCGAAAAAUAUAUUUUGCAGUCAUUUAUCAUCGAGGAAGACUAGCCAAAGCCUCUAGUUAGCUUCGUCACCUAAUCUAACCACCAUCCUCAAAAAUCUAUUUGAAAUCAGCAAUGACAACCACCCCAAAAUCUAGCGAAAAUCUAUCUUUUCUUCUCAAUUUUUGUUGGAAACAUGUAGUGCUAGUUCUCGUCGAC
rnacentral:lncRNA from 1 species